UGGGGAAUAUUGCACAAUGGGGGAAACCCUGAUGCAGCCAUGCCGCGUGUGUGAAGAAGGCCUUCGGGUUGUAAAGCACUUUCAGUUGUGAGGAAAAGUUAGUAGUUAAUACCUGCUAGCCGUGACGUUAACAACAGAAGAAGCACCGGCUAACUCUGUG
rnacentral:rRNA from 1 species